UACGGGGGGAGCAAGCGUUGUUCGGAUUUACUGGGCGUAAAGGGCGCGUAGGCGGCCACCGCAAGUCGACUGUGAAAUCUCCGGGCUUAACCCGGAAAGGUCAGCCGAUACUGCGGGGCUAGAGUGCAGAAGGGGCAACUGGAAUUCUCGGUGUAGCGGUGAAAUGCGUAGAUAUCGAGAGGAACACCUGCGGCGAAGGCGGGUUGCUGGGCUGACACUGACGCUGAGGCGCGAAGGCUAGGGGAGCAAACAGG
rnacentral:rRNA from 1 species